rnacentral:rRNA from 1 species
AUGUCAGUUCUUCUGCUGCAAAGUUGGGGAAAGAAUUGCAGUGCAAUCAAGUUUCGUCCGAGCACACAACAUCAGCGAUGUGACGAUGAAGCAAUGACAUUGUCUGGCUAUUCAUACAAUUCUAUAGAAGAUGCAAUGGACGUUGCAGCUGCUCGAGUAAUGAAAUAUAUGGAGACCAUGCGUGCCAAGGUAUUGAAAGAAUAUAGUUACAACGAGCUGCAACAAACAAAGGAAAGAGAACUGCAUCUGAUUGGUUUGUUAGGACAAAGAGAAAGAAAUCAAAGAACAGGCUCUGAAGAUUAG